rnacentral:lncRNA from 1 species
AUAGAAACUAACAUUCUGAGAUUAGGAAAUAUGUUGAUUAGAAAGUGAGAAAAUACUUGCCUAAAUUUUGUUCCUUCUUUUUUUUCCCUCUGAUACUUGGAUACUUGGGCUGUUUAUUGGGGUCCCUUUCUCUCCAGCCCAUUUAGUGGAGCAAGGCUUUGCAAAGCCGGUCUCCUAGCAGCCGAAUGCAGAAGGCCCAUUCAUAUUACAAUGGAAGGAAAGGAAAGAAAGAGCUUGGUUUGUUUAAACUGCCUCUGUCUUCAUUCACAGCCUGAUGUCCGUGUGCAUUGUGAGUCCACAAUGGCACUAAAGGACUCAUUGUGGCCGAAAACAAAUCAAAAUAAAAUAAGGGAUGCUAAGAUAAAAGAGUCAUGCAACAAAAUUGCUUAAAAAAUCUAAGUCUUACAUCUGAGAUUUAUGUUACCUUUUGGCUGUGUGGCCUAUUGACCGGUAUUUAUAACAACCGCUAGAGUUUAAUAAACAAAAAGAUAAAUGGGAA